CGUUUCUUUUUCUUCUUUUAAACGAUUCAACCUGUUCAUUCUCGUUUAUCAAUGCGCGAGAAGAUGAGUAUGCGAAUUUUUCAAAUUAUCUUUGAUUUCAAUCUGAUCGAAUCGUUCGGGUACAUUCUUAACGACACAGUAUUUCGUAUACGUUAUCAUCGAUAGACACGAAUAAAACAAUUCGCAAAUUUCUGGUGCGUUUUAUAUGUUGCAAGUCGAAAAACCUCGCUCGUUUCGUUUCAAUAAUCGUAAACCGUACCUUUUCAAAUUAUUUCGAAAUAUCGAAACUCUCUCGAAAAUAUUUUCUACUUCAAGAUGUUAGUUUGUUAAAUUGUAACGAUAUCGUCUCCAUUUAAAACUAUGAUAAUAAUUAUACAAUGUAAACAAGGAUAAAUCUGUGAUUCGGAUUUCUUUCUAUUAGAAUUCUGACUACACUUUAAAAUGUGAAUACAAUCGAAUAGCGUGAAAAAUCAUUGGGAAAAAGUCUUAUUCGCUCGGCAUUCGAUCGUCGAAAUAACGAUUGGCUAUACACCUGCCCAUCGUUACUCGCAAAUCGGAAAAGUCAUUGACCGAGAGGUAUUUUGAAAAGAUCGAAAAGGACCGUGAAACGAUAAAGUCGAAAUAAAUACGAUAUAUAGCUUCGAUAAGGUGGUAUUUCGUUAAACUAAUAUCGUACCACGACAAUUAUUGAUAUAUUUUUCUUUAUCUAGUAUAUACAUACCUACAUAAUUGUGUAGCAUAUGACGAUGAAUCUGAUCAAAAUGACCGCGACGCCGCACACGGCAAAACGUUCAACUUACUUGCCAAUCAAUUGCAUGAGUUAACAUCGCUAGAGACGUCUCUUGGAAUGGGAUCGUUUGCAAACUUUCUGCCUACAGUUCAGAAACCUUGGUGUAUCAAAAUGGUCCAGUGUACUAGCAGACUACCCGAAUAAAAUAGCUUGUUAACUGGAUAAGACUGUACACGAGAAAGUGUCUGUAUGUGUGUGCGCGUGUCUGGAAUGAGUAUGGGUAUCGAAGGAGGUUAGUUUCUACAUACGCGGUUUCGAAAAAUCCAAUGUAUCGCAUCUGGAUAGAUAUUUGUAUUCCCAUUUACUUUUAUUCGUACAACGAUCGUCAAGAGUAACAACAGAACGUUCAAGUAAUUCUCCUCUUCGUCGAGCCUACCUCUCAAAAUGAUCAAAGUGGAAAUAAUAAAUGACGACUAAACCGACUAAAUUAUUCUAUGAAAUAGUUGUAUGUAUAUUCAUUGAUUUCUUCGGAAAUAAAUACAACUUUACGUUUAUACGUAAAUAAGUAUGUAUGCACGGUAAGUAUACAUGUGUGUGUGUGUGUGUGGGUGUGUGUAUUGUACUAUGUAUUACGCAUCUUACCACAUAUAUAAAUGAACAAAAUAAAAUCUGUCUGUACUUACAGCAGUCGGUACAGCAAAAUAUAUGUGUUUCUUUUCAACUUUUUUUCAUCUAAAUAUUAAAUGUUUCUAUACGUGUAGACGAAUCUAAUAUCGUCGCGGAAAUAAUUUGCACGUGGGUGGUGAUCGAGACUCGAUAGGGUGCGCUAUGAUAUUGGUAAAUACGAUUCAAACCAACGAAUUAAGCAUGGACACAAGUACCAUGGUAUAUACUUGGGUAGAAAUACAGCACAUUAUGUUCGUGGAAUUAAAUGAAUUGAAGCUCAUGAACGUUAAGUAGCGCCUCGGCGGUGAAACCGAUCUACCAGUAUUUAUACGAUGCGACUACUUGAAAAAUAAAUGAAAUUCAAGUAGCUAGUGUUCGAGAGAUGAAUUCGUUACACAACAAUAUUGCAUCUUAACUGCUAAUUAUAUUUCCCAGCUUGUACGGAAGUGAAAAUAUAAUUAGGUAUUAAUGGAGAAGAAUAAACUGCGAUAUACCAAUUGUUGGGCAACAAGCUCGAAUUAAGAGAAUUAAACGACUAAUUUGAUUCUGUCGGAGAAGACGUUAGAAAAGAAUAUUAUUAUACAUAAAUAUAUUUAAGUAGCCACGGUCGAAAUGCAUUAAAUGUCUACCAUUGAGUAUUACAAUACAAGAGAGAUCUCUGUCCCUUUUACUCUCUCUCUCUCUCUCUCUCUCUCUC